rnacentral:rRNA from 1 species
UCAAAGGAAUUGACGGGGCCCGCACAAGCGGUGGAGCAUGUGGUUUAAUUCGAUGCAACGCGAAGAACCUUACCUAGACUUGACAACCCGAGAGAUCGGGCGUUCCCCUUCGGGGGGGACAGGGUGACAGGUGGUGCAUGGUUGUCGUCAGCUCGUGUCGUGAGAUGUUGGGUUAAGUCCCGCAACGAGCGCAACCCUCGACCUUAGUUGCCAGCGAGUCAAGUCGGGCACUCUAAGGUGACUGCCGGCUAAAAGUCGGAGGAAGGUGGGGAUGACGUCAAAUCAUCAUGCCCCUUAUGACCUGGGCUACACACGUGCUACAAUGGGCGGUACAAAGGGUCGCGAACCCGCGAGGGGGAGCCAAUCCCAAAAAGCCGCUCUCAGUUCGGAUUGCAGGCUGCAACUCGCCUGCAUGAAGCCGGAAUCGCUAGUAAUCGCGGAUCAGCAUGCCGCGUCGAUACGUUCCGGCCUU